UGGGGGUAGGAUGCUCAAAUGU
rnacentral:miRNA from 1 species